AACGAACGCUGGCGGCAUGCCUAACACAUGCAAGUCGAACGAGACCUUCGGGUCUAGUGGCGCACGGGUGCGUAACGCGUGGGAACCUGCCCUUAGGUUCGGAAUAACUCCCCGAAAGGGGUGCUAAUACCGGAUAAUGUCUUCGGACCAAAGAUUUAUCGCCUUUGGAUGGGCCCGCGUUGGAUUAGCUAGUUGGUAGGGUAAAAGCCUACCAAGGCGACGAUCCAUAGCUGGUCUGAGAGGAUGAUCAGCCACACUGGGACUGAGACACGGCCCAGACUCCUACGGGAGGCAGCAGUGGGGAAUAUUGGACAAUGGGCGAAAGCCUGAGCCAGCAAUGCCGCGUGAGUGAUGAAGGCAUUAGGGUUGUAAAGCGCUUUUACCCGGGAUGAUAAUGACAGUACCGGGAGAAUAAGCUCCGGCUAACUCCGUG
rnacentral:rRNA from 1 species